GCCGAGGUAGCUCAGCGGCAGAGCAGCUGAUUUGUAAUCAGCGGGUCGGGGGUUCGAAUCCCUUCCUCGGCUCCA
rnacentral:tRNA from 3 species